rnacentral:rRNA from 1 species
GAUUAGAGUUUGAUCAUGGCUCAGAUUGAACGCUGGCGGCAGGCCUAACACAUGCAAGUCGAACGGUAGCACAGGAGAGCUUGCUCUCUGGGUGACGAGUGGCGGACGGGUGAGUAAUGCAUGGGGAGCUGCCCAAUCGAGGGGGAUACCAGCUGGAAACGGCUGCUAAUACCGCAUACGCCCUGAGGGGGAAAGGUGGGGACCUUCGGGCCUACCGCGAUUGGAUGCACCCAUGUGGGAUUAGCUAGUUGGUGAGGUAACGGCUCACCAAGGCGACGAUCUUUAGCUGGUCUGAGAGGAUGACCAGCCACACUGGAACUGAGACACGGUCCAGACUCCUACGGGAGGCAGCAGUGGGGAAUAUUGCACAAUGGGGGAAACCCUGAUGCAGCCAUGCCGCGUGUGUGAAGAAGGCCUUCGGGUUGUAAAGCACUUUCAGUGGGGAGGAAGGGGUGAUGCCUAAUACGCAUCAUCAUUGACGUACCCACAG